rnacentral:rRNA from 1 species
UACGGAGGGGGCUAGCGUUGUUCGGAAUUACUGGGCGUAAAGCGCACGUAGGCGGCUUUGUAAGUUAGAGGUGAAAGCCCAGGGCUUAACCCUGGAAUUGCCUUUAAGACUGCAUCGCUCGAAUUGUGGAGAGGUGAGUGGAAUUCCGAGUGUAGAGGUGAAAUUCGUAGAUAUUCGGAAGAACACCAGUGGCGAAGGCGACUCACUGGACACAUAUUGACGCUGAGGUGCGAAAGCGUGGGGAGCACACAGG